UUCCAACAGCAAUGGCUUAUCUAUGUCAGGCAAGUAGGCAGGUCAAGAGGAAAAGUUGCACUACAUCAGCAGAUCCAAAAAAGAAACAUAACAAUUCUAGAAAUUCUAACAAGGUAUUGAAUUUCAGUUAUCUUGAAACUGUCGUCGAUAGAUGAAAUGGAUGUUAAACAGUGGAAUACAGACUAAUACUACACUUCUCUUUCUUUACUUUUAUACAGACUAAUACUACACCAAAGUUGCAAGUUAAGAGGAUAAAGACCCGCGCUAAAGUACCAGCAGGAUUUGGUGUUUAUGUUAGUCCUGAGGGAGCUGUAAUAGAUAAUAUGAAUGGACAAAACUCUGGAUUAGUUUUUGUGAGUUACAACUUUUUUUAAAUUGCAAGUAUUUAUGUUACUUUUAUUUGUCAUUUUUCAUAUGUAACCAUACUUGUGCUUGGUUAUGUCAAAUGCAGAUGCCAACUCCAGGAGAAGUCAUAUAUCAAGAUGGAUCAAGCAGAAAUAACACACCUCCUGCUACAAGAAUGUAUAGAACCCUACUUACAUCAAGCAACAAUCCACCAACUUCAAGCACAAUGGAGAACAUGAGAGAUUAAGUUGGAAGUCAGUAGGGACAUGAGAUAUCCAAGUUUAAUUUUUAAGAACUUUGUUUAAUAUUUAUGACCUUUGUUUAAUAUCAAGUUUGGACAGUGUGUUGAUUGAAAUGAUUGACUGAUGGCAGCUUUUUUCAAGUUUGUUUAAGACAAUGUAUUGUUUAAUAUCAAGUUUUAAGAACAUGACUGAUGGCAGCUUUUUUUAUUUUUAUGGUUGAAUUGAAUCCUUUUAUGGUUGGCUUGAAUCCUUUUCAUUUUUAUGGUUGAAUUGAAUGAUGACAUUUUUUUAUGUUCUGCAAAGUACCAAUAAGGCCUUCCUAACAUUUUCACCAGUUGGUCAAUUUGAGUGAGGUUUGGCAGUGCAUUUUGCUGAUUAAAAUAGGAAACAUAUCUACCCCUUUCCUUUUCUCUUUCAAUGAAGUGCUCUUUCAGUAGUCUGUAUUAUGACGAAGAAGAAAAUAAUUUGAGCUUAAUGGAUGUUGGCUAGUCCUAAUUCAAUCAGCAAGGAUGCAAUGUGGAUGAACUUGAGGAGCUUAUCUUUAUUCUUGAAUUUUAACUUAGUUUUGCUAGACACAUUCUUUAGUAGUUUAAUCUUCCAGAGCAUGUAGUAGUCGGAUUAAUU
rnacentral:lncRNA from 1 species